AAAGGGUGGUAAUGCCGGAUGCUCCAUCACACUGCAUGGUGUGUUGGGAAAGCCUUUGCGGCAUGGGAUGGGGUCGCGUCCUAUCAGCUUGAUGGCGGGGUAACGGCCCACCAUGGCUUCGACGGGUAGCCGGCCUGAGAGGGCGACCGGCCACAUUGGGACUGAGAUACGGCCCAGACUCCUACGGGAGGCAGCAGUGGGGAAUAUUGCACAAUGGGCGCAAGCCUGAUGCAGCGACGCCGCGUGAGGGAUGGAGGCCUUCGGGUUGUAAACCUCUUUUGUUAGGGAGCAAGGCAUUUUGUGUUGAGUGUACCUUUCGAAUAAGCACCGGCUAACUACGUGCCAGCAGCCGCGGUAAUACGUAGGGUGCAAGCGUUAUCCGGAAUUAUUGGGCGUAAAGGGCUCGUAGGCGGUUCGUCGCGUCCGGUGUGAAAGUCCAUCGCUUAACGGUGGAUCCGCGCCGGGUACGGGCGGGCUUGAGUGCGGUAGGGGAGACUGGAAUUCCCGGUGUAACGGUGGAAUGUGUAGAUAUCGAAAAAGAACACCA
rnacentral:rRNA from 1 species